UACGGAGGGUGCAAGCGUUGUCCGGAAUCACUGGGCAUAAAGCGCACGUAGGCGGUGCCGUAAGUCAGAUGUGAAAUCCCUCGGCCCAACCGAGGAACUGCGUCUGAUACUGCGGUGCUUGAGGACCAGAGGGGUGCAUGGAAUUUCCGGUGGAGCGGUGAAAUGCGUUGAUAUCGGAAGGAACUCCGGCGGCGAAAGCGAUGCACUGGCUGGUUUCUGACGCUGAGGUGCGAAAGCCAGGGGAGCAAACGGG
rnacentral:rRNA from 1 species